UUAAGCACCGCCUGCCCAAUGAAUAAUGAAUGGCCGCAGUAUCCUGACUGUGCAAAGGUAGCAUAAUCACUUGUCUCUUAAUUGGAGGCUGGAAUGAAUGGUAAGACGAGAGAAAAACUUUCUUGAUUAAAAUAAUAAAAAUUAUCUUAAAAGUUAAAAGGCUUUUAUAAUCUAAGGGGACGACAAGACCCUAUAAAACUUUAUCCCCUUUGUAAUCUAUCUUUAAGAGUUAAGAUUUUAUGAACGGGAUUUUGCUGGGGCGGCAAAUUUUUAAGUCUAACAUAAUUUAAUUUAACUUCACCAAGAUUUUUACAAACCUUUAUUAAGAAAUAACCAAGUUACUUUAGGGAUAACAGCGUUAUACCUUUUUAGAGCCCCUAUCGCCAAAGGUGUUUACGACCUCGAUGUUGAAUUGAAGUACCUAUUUUAAGCAGCCUUAAAACAAGGAAGUCUGUUCGACUUUUAAUUUUUCA
rnacentral:rRNA from 1 species